AAUGGAGAGUUUGAUCCUGGCUCAGGAUGAACGCUGGCGGCGUGCCUAAUACAUGCAAGUCGGACGCAAUGCUUCGGCAUUGAGUGGCGAACGGGUGAGUAAUACAUAAGCAACCUGCCCCUGUGAGGGGGAUAACUGCUGGAAACGGCAGCUAAGACCGCAUAGGCAUACAUGACGCAUGUCGAGUAUGUUAAAUAUCCUACGGGAUAGCACAGGGAUGGGCUUAUGACGCAUUAGCUAGCUGGUGAGGUAGAGGCUCACCAGGGCGACGAUGCGUAGCCGGCCUGAGAGGGUGGACGGCCACACUGGGACUGAGACACGGCCCAGACUCCUACGGGAGGCAGCAGUAGGGAAUUUUCGGCAAUGGGCGAAAGCCUGACCGAGCAACGCCGCGUGAAGGAAGAAGUCAUUCGUGAUGUAAACUUCUGUUAUAAAGGAAGAACGGCGCCUGUAGGGAAUGACAGGCGAGUGACGGUACUUUAUGAGGAAGCCACGGCUAACUACGUGCCAGCAGCCGCGGUAAUACGUAGGUGGCGAGCGUUAUCCGGAAUCAUUGGGCGUAAAGAGGGAGCAGGCGGCAGUGCAGGUCUGCGGUGAAAGCCCGAAGCUAAACUUCGGUAAGCCGUGGAAACCGCACAGCUAGAGAGCAUCAGAGGAUCGCGGAAUUCCAUGUGUAGCGGUGAAAUGCGUAGAUAUAUGGAGGAACACCAGUGGCGAAGGCGGCGGUCUGGGGUGCAGCUGACGCUCAGUCCCGAAAGCGUGGGGAGCAAAUAGGAUUAGAUACCCUAGUAGUCCACGCCGUAAACGAUGAGUGCUAAGUGUUGGGGGUCAGACCUCAGUGCUGCAGUUAACGCAAUAAGCACUCCGCCUGAGUAGUACGUUCGCAAGAAUGAAACUCAAAGGAAUUGACGGGGGCCCGCACAAGCGGUGGAGCAUGUGGUUUAAUUCGAAGCAACGCGAAGAACCUUACCAGGUCUUGACAUGGAGAUAAAGGCUCUGGAGACAGAGAGAUAGUUAUAUCUCACACAGGUGGUGCAUGGUUGUCGUCAGCUCGUGUCGUGAGAUGUUGGGUUAAGUCCCGCAACGAGCGCAACCCCUGUUGCCAGUUGCCAGCAUUAGGUUGGGGACUCUGGCGAGACUGCCUCUGCAAGGAGGAGGAAGGCGGGGAUGACGUCAAAUCAUCAUGCCCCUUAUGACCUGGGCUACACACGUGCUACAAUGGACGGAUCAGAGGGAGGCGAAGCCGCGAGGUGGAGCGAAACCCAGAAACCCGUUCACAGUUCGGACUGCAGUCUGCAACUCGACUGCACGAAGCUGGAAUCGCUAGUAAUCGCGAAUCAGCAUGUCGCGGUGAAUACGUUCUCGGGCCUUGUACACACCGCCCGUCACACCAUGAGAGUUGGUAACACCCGAAGCCGGUGGCCCAACCGCAAGGAGGGAGCUGUCUAAGGUGGGACUGAUGAUUGGGGUGAAGUCGUAACAAGGUAUCCCUACGGGAACGUGGGGAUGGAUCACCUCCUUUCUAGGGAG
rnacentral:rRNA from 1 species